rnacentral:rRNA from 1 species
CNGACCNGCCCCGUGAAAAUAUUUUAACGGCCGCGGUAUAUUGACCGUGCAAAGGUAGCAUAAUCAUUAGUCUUUUAAUAGAGGGCUGGAAUGAAGGGUUUAACGAAGUACUUACUGUCUCAUUUAAUUUGAUAUUAAAAUUUACUUUUUCAGUCAAAAAGCUGAAAUAUUAUUGGAAGACGAGAAGACCCUAUAGAGCUUUAUAUUUAUUUAUUUAAUAAAUUUUUGAUAAGAUUAUUAUUUAUUAUUUAAUAAAAUAUUUUGUUGGGGUGACAAAAAUAUAUAAUUAACUUUUUUAUUUAUAUAACAUUGAUAUAUGAAAAAUAGAUCCAGUUUUACUGAUUAUUAGAAUAAGUUACCUUAGGGAUAACAGCGUAAUCUUCCUUUAGAGUUCAUAUUCACAGGGAGGCUUGCGACCUCGAUGUUGGAUUAAGAUUAUAAUUAGGUGUAGCCGCUUAAAAAAUAGGUCUGUUCGACCUUUAAAUUCUUACAUGAUCUGAG